rnacentral:rRNA from 1 species
AUUGAACGCUGGCGGCAUGCCUAACACAUGCAAGUCGAACGAGUGGCGGACGGGUGAGUAAUGUAUGGAACACUGCCUGAUGGAGGGGGAUAACUACGGGAAACGGUAGCUAAUACCGCAUACCAUCAGAUGUGCCCAUAUGGGAUUAGCUAGUUGGUGGGGUAACGGCUCACCAAGGCGACGAUCCCUCUCUGGUAUGAGAGGCGGACCCGCCACACUGGAACGGAGACACGGUCCAGACUCCGACGGGAGGCAGCAGUGGGUAAUAUUGCACAAUGGGCGCAAGCCUGAUGCAGCCAUGCCGCGUGUAUGAAGAAGGCCUUCGGGUUGUAAAGUACUUUCAGCGGGGAGGCGUUACCCGCAGAAGAAGCACCGGCUAACUCCGUGCCAGCAGCCGCGGUAAUAC